rnacentral:rRNA from 1 species
UACGGAGGGUGCAAGCGUUGUCCGGAUUUACUGGGUUUAAAGGGUGCGUAGGUGGGCGAGAAAGUCAGUGGUGAAAUCUCCGGGCUUAACCCGGAAACUGCCAUUGAUACUAUUUGUCUUGAAUACUUUGGAGGUAAGCGGAAUAUGUCAUGUAGCGGUGAAAUGCUUAGAUAUGACAUAGAACACCAAUUGCGCAGGCAGCUUACUACACAGUAAUUGACACUGAGGCACGAAAAGCGUGGGGAUCAAACAGG